ACCUCCAUUAACGGAUGUGUCCUAGCUGAUGCCGAGGACUAAGCACCGCACCAGACACCACAACCACCGCAGACUAACUGGAAUCUCGCUGUCUUCCUUCCACCCUGGAUCAACCUCUGAUAUCCAGGACCGUGUGGGAGAGACCUCUCUUCCAGGAGAGCAUAACAGGAACAGCUCUUAAAAGAGCUAAGUGAUUAGAACCCAGGGGAGUAUACAGAGUAUAGCAAUCCCCAGUGUGAUUAUAGCAGUUCCCUUCUUUCAUGAAUUCAUCCACUUAUAAAAAUGUGAUUAAUGGAAUUUACUGUUCAGACAGGAAAAGUUGUGCCGCACAAUAUUACUGUCCUGACAGGAAAAGUUGUGCUGAGCAGCAAUUAUGCAAAUGAUAAGGGGUUCAGAAAUGUUAUGGAAGUCAUAUUUUUGCCCAGGCGAACACAGGAUUUAAUGCACAAAACCGUUCCAUAGAAUCGCUUCUAAGUGCUGCUGGAGAAGCGACCGUGAACCGCGUGGUUUUCAUGCCGAAAAAGCUUCCAUGGCAUUCGCGGCUAAGUCCCCCAGAAGUCUAUUUGCGGUUUUGGUCCAUGCGAACUAGAUGGCCGCCACCACAUGUUCGAAUGGCGGCCACUUCGACUGUUCGGAAGUUCAAAGAACCAUUGUUUAAAGUCCCAAUAGCCACAAAUAGGGUCUCCCAAUCACAAUAAAUUAAAGGGGCCCUAGUCACAGGGUAAAAGGCUGGCAAGUAGUCCCCUCCAAAAACCAGUGGCGAGGUCACUUUCUCCACAGUGUCAUAUACACACACUGACGCACACGCAGAUACACACAUAUUGACAUACAUACAUACACACAGGCACAUACAAACACGAUAUAUAGUGGCACAUACACACACAUACAAUAUGACAUACAUCAGAGCCACCCUCCUGUUAACUUACCUUGUGUGUCCAGGAGAGUGGCUUGCUUGUGGUCCUGGUGAUGUUGGCUGAUGGGAGUGAGGUGCU